CUCUGUAGCUCAGUUGGUUAGAGCUCGACAACUGUCUCUCUGUAGCUCAGUUGGUUAGAGCUUGACAACUGUCUCUCUGUAGCUCAGUUGGUUAGAGCUCGACAACUGUCUCUCUGUAGCUCAGUUGGUUAGAGCUCGACAACUGUCUCUCUGUAGCUCAGCUGGUUAGAGCUCGACAACUGUCUCUCUGUAGCUCAGUUGGUUAGAGCUCGACAACUGUCUCUCUGUAGCUCAGUUGGUUAGAGCUCGACAACUGUCUCUCUGUAGCUCAGUUGGUUAGAGCUCGACAACUGUCUCUCUGUAGCUCAGUUGGUUAGAGCUUGACAACUGUCUCUCUGUAGCUCAGUUGGUUAAAGCUCGACAACUGUCUCUCUGUAGCUCAGUUGGUUAGAGCUCGACAACUGUCUCUCUCUAGCUCAGUUGGUUAGAACUUGACAACUGUCUCUCUGUAGCUCAGUUGGUUAGAGCUCGACAACUGUCUCUCUGUAGCUCAGUUGGUUAGAGCUCGACAACUG